rnacentral:rRNA from 1 species
UACGUAGGGUGCGAGCGUUAAUCGGAGUUACUGGGCGUAAAGGGUGCGCAGGCGGCCCUGCGCGUCGCGAGUGAAAUCUCCCGGCUCAACUGGGAGGGUGGUCGCGGGACGGCAGGGCUUGAGGCUCGGUGAGGGGCGUGGAAUUCCGGGUGGAGCGGUGAAAUGCGUAGAGAUCCGGAGGAACACCAACGGCGUAGGCAGCGCCCUAGACGAGACCUGACGCUCAGGCACGAAAGCGCGGGGAGCGAACAGG